CCUCCUGCUGGUCACUGUAAUUGUUCUGUGACUGAAUCACCAGCUAGCCCUUUUGAUGGCUAAUCUUAGUUGUCAGCUUGACUGCAAUCAAGCUGGAAUCCAAGCUGCUAAGCACUCCAGUGAGGAAUUUUUUGAUUACAUUAUUUGAAGCAGAAGGCACUUUCUGAUGCCAGCCCAGACAAAAGAACAUAGAAAAAGGAAACUGCUUUUUACCUGCUUGCCCUCAGUCUUACUGUGAAGUCCAUUUAUCCUGUUGCUGAGGCAUUACUUGAACACAUUAGAACCAACGUCUUUGGAUUCCAAAGUAGAUUGACAUCUUCAGCUUUCCAUGAAUUCUCCAGACUUUCAGUGCCAGGUAGAGACUGCUAAAACAUCCAGCCUCAUGGACUGUGCAACUACUGGGUUGUUGGACUACUCAGACCACAUCCUGUAUCUGGGACCUCGGUUAUCACCUCGGGACAGUCCCUCCCUCCCAGGGCUAACUCACCACUAGACAGUAAACAACCUGCUAUCCUAGAACAAAACUAUUUCACAAAACAUCAACCAACUGGGGAAGAGAGGAAACAAGGUCGCCCUGAAUAGCCUGGACAUUCCUUGAAGUCCAGAUCUUCACGCCUUAACCUCCCCAGUAGCUAGGAUUACAGGUAUACCAAGAUCCCAGGGCACGUACCACAGCUGAGCUCAUCACUGGAGUCGGGACAGUCUGGGUGGCCAUCACAGCGCCAUGUGUGUGGGAUACAGACAUCGCCCAACACGC